UCUAAUCGACUAUAUAUAUAUGUGUAUAAUAACAUUUUCGAAUAAUUUUCAUGAAUAUUAUUCACGGUUCGUAUUCCGUUCGAUCUACAGUGUUUUCCAUUUUGUUUCUAUCCUUUUCUCUCUCUCUUUCUCUCUUUCUCUCGCGCGCGCGUUUCGAUGGAAACGGGGCUUUAAUAUACUAAAAUAUUUUGCGGAAGUGGCAUUGGGCGCGCUGUUUCCAAGCAUGUCGACUUACUCGCCAUCUGUCGGCAAGGUAGUUCACUUUUGAAUUGUACGUGCACGUUGUCUCCGUCGUUGCGUUGUAGUCGUCGUCGAAAUUGUCGUCGUUUUCUUCACCGUGUUCUCCCAUCGUCGUGUGUUGCCUUUAGGUGGUAGAAGAGUGAAAGUGGAAUCGAACCGAGAAGAGACAGUAAUUGAGAAGUAGAAAAGAACGUAAAAAAAAAAGAAAUAUUUAGAAAGAUAUAAAGAAAAGUUAGAGAGUGGGAGUAGAGGGUCAACGAGUAGUAGAGUGUGUGUGUUCAGUUAUAUUAGGGAUGAAUAAAUCGCAAAAGCGGCGGGUGUGGUGUAAUAUGGGUUUCGUUUAUGUGACUUUAUAGAGACUUUAAAACGCGUGAGAGAGAAACGAACAAAUUUCACGAGCUUAACCUAAAAAUUCAUGCACGCUCGUUCUUAAAUUUUCCUAUCUCUGUGUUACCGACCGCGUGUUCGAUUCUUAAAACGAAGGGUUCAUAUCUAUGUGUUUAAUGUUCUCUUCAUUUUAUUUCUACUAUUUGUUAUUUCCUUUAAUAAAAGGAUUAGUUUUUUGAUUAUUAUAUAAUAUACGAAUAUAUAAAUAUUAGAAAUACUUUGAUUGGGGGAAGAAAAAAAAAAAUUAAAGAUUUGUUCUUUUAUAAAUGGUGGUAAGCAUUCAAUAUUGCGGUUAACGCCUGGGAAGAAGAAGAAGAUGUCCGUCGUGACUUAGUGGAUUAUUAUUCUUGUUUAAAAGAAUUAUAUUUCGUUACUCGUUGUUUGUCGUCGCGUGGUAUAAAUAUAACAUGGCGAUAGUAUACACAUGACUACUACUAUUCUACGUUGCUAAAACCACCGUAUGGUUGGUUUAUAACCAGCGAAAGAUGCUUUACUUGUCGUUUAUUGUAUAAUUUGUUAACUUCCUUUUUAAAUGUAUCGUCUUAGUGUAUUAUUCAAGAUAAAACAAAAAUUUGUCAUUUAAAAACUUAAUUUCCUUUUAUACUCGUGUCAAAUAUUAUAGUGUUCGUUCUACAUUAACCAAAAUGGGGAAUAAUAAAAAGGUGAAAAUGCAACAGCAACAACUUGUAUUUUCUUUCAACGAAAACCGUCGUCGUUGUUCAUCAAGGAAAUCGUGAAAUCCGUGUGCGCGCGUGGUUGUUGCACACUACCGUUUUUGGCUCGGAUCCUUCGGUUUAUAAAUAAAUUUUAAAUUCGGUGUUUCUAGUCUCUAAGAAGUGA
rnacentral:lncRNA from 1 species